rnacentral:rRNA from 1 species
UAAUACAGAGGGUGCGAGCGUUGUCCGGAAUCACUGGGCGUAAAGGGCGCGUAGGUGGCGACCCAAGUCCAUGGUGAAAGCUCGAUGCUCAACAUCGAGUCGGCCACGGAUACUGGGUUGCUGGAGCACUGUAGAGGCAGAUGGAAUUCCGGGUGUAGCGGUGGAAUGCGUAGAGAUCCGGAAGAACACCGGUGGCGAAGGCGGUCUGCUGGGCAGUUGCUGACACUGAGGCGCGACAGCGUGGGGAGCAAACAGGAUUAGAUACCCUGGUAGUCCACGCCGUAAACGAUGGGCACUAGAUGCUUGGGGGAGCGACCCCCUGAGUGUCGUCGCUAACGCAGUAAGUGCCCCGCCUGGGGAGUACGGCCGCAAGGCUG